rnacentral:rRNA from 1 species
ACGAACGCUGGCGGCGUGCUUAACACCUGCCAGUCGAACGGAAAGGCCCUGCUUUUGUGGGGUGCUCGAGUGGCGAACGGGUGAGUAACACGUGAGUAACCUGCCCUUGACUUUGGGAUAACUUCAGGAAACUGGGGCUAAUACCGGAUAGGAGCUCCUGCUGCAUGGUGGUGGUUGGAAAGUUUCGGCGGUUGGGGAUGGACUCGCGGCUUAUCAGCUUGUUGGUGGGGUAGUGGCUUACCAAGGCUUUGACGGGUAGCCGGCCUGAGAGGGUGACCGGCCACAUUGGGACUGAGAUACGGCCCAGACUCCUACGGGAGGCAGCAGUGGGGAAUAUUGCACAAUGGGCGGAAGCCUGAUGCAGCAACGCCGCGUGCGGGAUGACGGCCUUCGGGUUGUAAACCGCUUUCGCCUGUGACGAAGCGUGAGUGACGGUAAUGGGUAAAGAAGCACCGGCUAACUACGUG